rnacentral:rRNA from 1 species
GAUGAACGCUGGCGGCAGGCUUAACACAUGCAAGUCGGACGGGAACUGGUUUUGCCAGUGGCGGACGGGGGAGUAACUCGUAAGAACCUGCCCUUGGGAGCGGAACAACAGCUGGAAACGGCUUCUAAUACCCCGUAUUAUGAGGAUCAAGAGGACGAAUCCGCCCGAGAAGCGGCGGGCGUCUGAUCAUCUAGUUGUUGAGGCAAUAGCUUACCAAGGAGAUGGUCAGGAGAUGGUGCAACAGGAUGAUCAGCCAGACUGGGACGGGAAGCAGGAGCAGAGAACUAUGGGAGACAGGAGUGAGGAAUAUUCAGCAAUACCGGAAAGCUUGACGGAGCAUUCGGGUGUGGAAGUAGAAUGGUUACGGGUGGAGAGCUGCUGUUCAAGGAGAAGAAGCAAUGACGGUACCUAAGGAAUAAGCAUCGGCUAACUCCGUG